UUACGGGGACGUCCGCGCAGAAUUGUGCUUGAAUAACACGGUGGGUAACCUUGCCCAUCAGAAGGGGAUAACACUUGGAAACAGGUGCUAAUACCGUAUAACAAUCAAAACCGCAGGUUUUGAUUUGAAAGGCGCUUUCGGGUGUCGCUGAUGGAUGGACCCGCGGUGCAUUAGCUAGUUGGUGAGGUAACGGCUCACCAAGGCCACGAUGCAUAGCCGACCUGAGAGGGUGAUCGGCCACAUUGGGACUGAGACACGGCCCAAACUCCUACGGGAGGCAGCAGUAGGGAAUCUUCGGCAAUGGACGAAAGUCUGACCGAGCAACGCCGCGUGAGUGAAGAAGGUUUUCGGAUCGUAAAACUCUGUUGUUAGAGAAGAACAAGGAUGAGAGUAACUGUUCAUCCCUUGACGGUAUCUAACCAGAAAGCCACGGCUAACUACGUGCCAGCAGCCGCGGUAAUACGUAGGUGGCAAGCGUUGUCCGGAUUUAUUGGGCGUAAAGCGAGCGCAGGCGGUUUCUUAAGUCUGAUGUGAAAGCCCCCGGCUCAACCGGGGAGGGUCAUUGGAAACUGGGAGACUUGAGUGCAGAAGAGGAGAGUGGAAUUCCAUGUGUAGCGGUGAAAUGCGUAGAUAUAUGGAGGAACACCAGUGGCGAAAGCGGCUCUCUGGUCUGUAACUGACGCUGAGCUCGAAAGCGUGGGGAGCAAACAGGAUUAGAUACCCUGGUAGUCCACGCCGUAACGAUGAGUGCUAAGUGUUGGAGGGUUUCCGCCCUUCAGUGCUGCAGCUAACGCAUUAAGCACUCCGCCUGGGGAGUACGACCGCAAGUUGAAACUCAAAGGAAUUGACGGGGGCCCGCACAGCGUGAGCAUGUGGUUUAUUCGAAGCACGCGAGACUUACCAGUCUUGACAUCCUUUGACCACCUCUAGAGAUAGAGCUUCCCCUUCGGGGCA
rnacentral:rRNA from 1 species